AGUGAACGCUGGCGGUAGGCCUAACACAUGCAAGUCGAACGGCAGCACAGUAAGAGCUUGCUCUUACGGGUGGCGAGUGGCGGACGAGUGAGGAAUACAUCGGAAUCUACUUUUUCGUGGGGGAUAACGUAGGGAAACUUACGCUAAUACCGCAUACGACCUACGGGUGAAAGCAGGGGAUCUUCGGACCUUGCGCGAUUGAAUGAGCCGAUGUCGGAUUAGCUAGUUGGCGGGGUAAAGGCCCACCAAGGCGACGAUCCGUAGCUGGUCUGAGAGGAUGAUCAGCCACACUGGAACUGGAACACGGUCAAGACUCCUACGGGAGGCAGCAGUGGGGAAUAUUGGACAAUGGGCGCAAGCCUGAUCCAGCCAUACCGCGUGGGUGAAGAAGGCCUUCGGGUUGUAAAGACCUUUUGUUGGGAAAGAAAAGCAGCAGGUUAAUACCCCGCUGUUCUGACGGUACCCAAAGAAUAAGCACCGGCUAACUUCGUG
rnacentral:rRNA from 1 species